rnacentral:lncRNA from 1 species
ACUCAGUAAAUAUUUGUGAAUGAGUGCUAAUAAUAAGAUAUUAUGUAUUUCACUCUGCUCAAGGUUGGCAAUGCUAUGGAAGAGGCUGGAGACAAGAGUCCCUGGCAGUAGCUGGAGAGGAGAGAGAAGCACCGCCCACAUGAUUCUCCAACUUAUGCAACCAUGUGUCACUCAACAAUGGAAAUACGUCCUGAGAAAUGUAUCCUUAGGUUGAGGGGUGAUUUUGAAUAGGAUCCAAGCAAUCAGAUGAAGGAAGAGUUGGAGUGUAUGAUCCAGAGACAAGAAGUAAAAAAUAUGCAAAGAAGAAAAAAUAACACGUGGAAAGGUCCAAGUUACGAAAGAACUCCCAGGAGAUCUGGAGAUCACCUUGGUGUUAGGUCACGACACUACGUAGGAGAAUGCUGCAAGAAAGAAGAGUUGGAGAACAAUACAGGGUUCAGUCAGACACAGGUUUGCAUUCUAGCAUAACACUUCUUAUUUCUUCUACCUAAAGCCGGCCCCUUAACUUUGCUGAGACUCAGUUUUUGUCCAUAAAAAAGACUGAUGACAUCAAUCGUGAUGGUGUAGUUUCCCCCACUUCACAGGUGACACAAAGAAAGUGACACGAAGACAUGCUAGCCUGUGCUUUGAGCUGGACGGGUACUGAGUGCCAGAGCCAGGCUCAUGCCCAGGUCUCCCCAGUGCCCAAGGUCAGUUCCUUUGCAUGAACUCAUUUAGGCUGAGUAACGGGACAGCACAUGAACAAAUGGCUGGGGCAUUAUUUAAAAACCCCACUCACUUUCUCUCCCAUCUAAAUGUCAGCCUCAGUCCCUGCCACUGAAUGUUGCAGCCCCCUGCCCACACCAGCAAGGCUAACUUGGCGGAUCAACGGGGUUUUAAUGUUUUCCUUAAUCUGGCAUCAGUUCAGCAAGAGGCGAAAGAAUCUCUGCCUUUUCCAAUUAGAC